rnacentral:rRNA from 1 species
AUUGAACGCUGGCGGCAGGCCUAACACAUGCAAGUCGAACGAGUGGCGGACGGGUGAGUAAUGUCUGGGAAACUGCCCGAUGGAGGGGGAUAACUACUGGAAACGGUAGCUAAUACCGCAUACCAUCAGAUGUGCCCAGAUGGGAAUAGCUGGUAGGUGGGGUAACGGCUCACCUAGGCGUCGAUCCAUAGCUGGUCUGAGAGGAUGACAGGCCACACUGAAACGGAGACGCGGUACAGACUCCUACGGGAGGCAGAAGUGGGGAAUAUUGCACAAUGGGCGCAAGCCUGAGGCAGCCAUGCCGCGUGUGUGAAGAAGGCCUUCGGGUUGUAAAGCACUUUCAGCGGGGAGGCGUUACCCGCAGAAGAAGAACCGGCUAACUACGUGCCAGCAGCCGCGGUAAUAC